ACACAUUAAGUGUACCGCCUGGGGAGUACGGUCGCAAGAUUAAAACUCAAAGGAAUAGACGGGGACCCGCACAAGCGGUGGAGCAUGUGGUUUAAUUCGACGAUACGCGAAGAACCUUACCUGGCCUUGACAUUGAUAGAAUCUUUCAGAGAUGAGAGAGUGCUAGUUUACUAGAACUUGAAAACAGGUGCUGCACGGCUGUCGUCAGCUCGUGUCGUGAGAUGUUGGGUUAAGUCCCGCAACGAGCGCAACCCUCGUGAUUAGUUACCAGCACUUCGGGUGGGGACUCUAAUCAGACUGCCUUCGCAAGGAGGAGGAAGGUGAGGACGACGUCAAGUCAUCAUGGCCCUUACGGCCAGGGCUACACACGUGCUACAAUGGGGCAUACAAAGAGCAGCGAUACCGCGAGGUGGAGCAAAUCUCAUAAAAUGCCUCCCAGUUCGGAUUGUUCUCUGCAACUCGAAAACAUGAAGUUGGAAUCGCUAGUAAUCGUAGAUCAGCAAUGCUACGGUGAAUACGUUCCCGGGUCUUGUACUCACCGCCCGUCACACCAUGGGAGUUGAUUUCAUUCGAAGCGGGGAUGCUAAGAUAGCUACCUUCCACAGUGGAAUUAGCGACUAGGGUGAAGUCGUAACAAGGUAACA
rnacentral:rRNA from 1 species